rnacentral:rRNA from 1 species
UAGUCUAACGAGUGAACCAGCAACUAGAAGGAACGAAAAACAAUUAUGUUGUAUAAAGUUCUAGAUAAAAUUAAAUAAUGAUUUUUUUUAUCUAUAGUCUUGUCUAAAUUACGUGCCAGCAGACGCGGUAAUACGUAGAAGACUAGUGUUAUUCAUCUUUAUUGGGUUUAAAGGGUCCCUAGACAGAAAACCAAGCCAUAAAGGGACUAGUAUUCUAGAGUUUUAUAAAAGAAAAUGGAAUUUAUAGAGGAGAGUUGAUAUUCAGUUAUACUAUAAGGACCGGUAACUGCGAAGGCAAUUUUCUAUGUAAAAACAGACGUUGAGGGACGAAGCCUAGGGUAGCGAUAAGGAUUAGAGACCCUAAUAGUCCUAGGAGAAAAUUAUAAAGGCCAUAAGCUAGAUAAACAUAUUUAGCAUAUAAAUGAAAGUGUAAGCAUUUCACCUCAUGAGUAGGUUGGCAACACUGAAAUUGAAACCAUUAGACCGUUUCUGAAACCAGUUAUGAAGUAUGCUAUUUAAUUCGAUGAUCCGCGAAUAAUCUUACCACAAUUUGAAUAUUUUUACAAGCGCUGCACGGCUGUC